CGAACGCUGGCGGCGUGCUUAACACAUGCAAGUCGAACGGAAAGGCCCUGCUUGCAGGGUACUCGAGUGGCGAACGGGUGAGUAACACGUGGGUGAUCUGCCCUGCACUUCGGGAUAAGCCUGGGAAACUGGGUCUAAUACCGGAUAGGAGCCAUUUUUAGUGUGAUGGUUGGAAAGUUUUUUCGGUGUAGGAUGAGCUCGCGGCCUAUCAGCUUGUUGGUGGGGUAAUGGCCUACCAAGGCGGCGACGGGUAGCCGGCCUGAGAGGGUGGACGGCCACAUUGGGACUGAGAUACGGCCCAGACUCCUACGGGAGGCAGCAGUGGGGAAGAUUGCACAAUGGGCGCAAGCCUGAUGCAGCGACGCCGCGUGGGGGAUGACGGCCUUCGGGUUGUAAACUCCUUUCGCUAGGGACGAAGCUUUUUGUGACGGUACCUAGAUAAGAAGCACCGGCUAACUACGUG
rnacentral:rRNA from 1 species